GGUAGAAUUGCUAGGUAAUAUGGUAACUCUAUGUUUAAAUGUUUGACAAAUAUCAUUCUUUUCCAGAAUGACUGCACCAUUUUAUAUUCCCACUAGCAAU
rnacentral:pre_miRNA from 1 species